UACGUAGGUGGCAAGCGUUGUCCGGAUUUACUGGGCGUAAAGAGCGCGCAGGCGGUCGGCCAAGUCGAGUGUGAAAGCCCCCGGCUCAACUGGGGAGGGUCAUUCGAUACUGGUCGACUCGAAGGCAGGAGAGGGAAGCGGAAUUCCCGGUGUAGUGGUGAAAUGCGUAGAUAUCGGGAGGAACACCAGUGGCGAAGGCGGCUUCCUGGCCUGUUCUUGACGCUGAGGCGGCGAAAAG
rnacentral:rRNA from 1 species